UACGUAGGGGGCUAGCGUUGUCCGGAAUCAUUGGGCGUAAAGAGCGUGUAGGCGGUCCGGUAAGUCCGCUGUGAAAGUCGGGGGCUCAACCCUCGAAUGCCGGUGGAUACUGUCGGGCUAGAGUGCGGAAGAGGCGAGUGGAAUUCCUGGUGUAGCGGUGAAAUGCGCGGAUAUCAGGAGGAACACCUAUUGCGAAGGCAGCUCGCUGGGACGUAACUGACGCUGAGACGCGAAAGCGUGGGGAGCAAACAGG
rnacentral:rRNA from 1 species